AGCAGCCGCGGUAAUUCCAGCUCCAAUAGCGUAUAUUAAAGUUGUUGCAGUUAAAAAGCUCGUAGUUGAAUUUCGGGAUUAAUUUAUUGGUCGUGCUAUUGUACGUACUGGUAUUAUUGAUUCCUACCUUCUGACGAACCACGAUGUCAUUAAUUUGGUGUCUUGGGGAAUCAGGACUGUUACUUUGAAAAAAUUAGAGUGUUUAAAGCAGGCUCACGCUUGAAUACAUUAGCAUGGAAUAACGAAAUAGGACGUUUGAUUCUAUUUUGUUGGCUUCUAGGAUCGACGUAAUGAUUAAUAGGGAUAGUUGGGGACAUUAGUAUUCAAUUGUCAGAGGUGAAAUUCUUGGAUUUAUUGAAGACUAACUACUGCGAAAGCAUUUGCCAAGGAUGUUUUCAUUAAUCAAGAACGAAAGUUAGGGGAUCGAAGACGAUCAGAUACCGUCGUAGUCUUAACCAUAAACUAUGCCGACUAGGGAUCGGAUGAUGUUAAUUUUUAAUGACUCAUUCGGCGCCUUACG
rnacentral:rRNA from 1 species